GACAGAGGAUGCAAACGUUGCUCGGAUUUACUGGGCGUAAAGGGCGCGUAGGCGGCAAUUCAAGUCAGCUGUGAAAUCUCCGGGCUUAACUCGGAACGGUCAGCUGAUACUGCUUUGCUAGAGUACAGAAGGGGCAAUCGGAAUUCUUGGUGUAGCGGUGAAAUGCGUAGAUAUCAAGAGGGAACACCUGAGGUGAAGACGGGUUGCUGGGCUGAUACUGACGCUGAGGCGCGAAAGCUAGGGGUAGCAAACGGG
rnacentral:rRNA from 1 species